CGUAGGUGGCGAGCGUUAUCCGGAUUUACUGGGCGUAAAGCGUGUGCAGGCGGGAGACCAAGUGGUGUAUGAAAUCGCCCAGCUUAACUGGGCAGGGUUAUGCCAGACUGGUUUUCUAGAGUGCGAGAGAGGGGCGUGGAAUUCCGGGUGUAGUGGUGAAAUGCGUAGAGAUCCGGAGGAACCCCAGAGGCGAAGGCGGCGCCCUGGCUCGCAACUGACGCUCAGACACGACAGCAUGGGGAGCGAACGGGAUUAGAAACCCCGGUAGUCCAUGCCGUAAACGAUGCAAACUAGGCGCUGAGGGUCUCAACCCCCACGGUGCCGCAGCCAACGCGAUAAGUUUGCCGCCUGGGGAGUACGGCCGCAAGGCUA
rnacentral:rRNA from 1 species